UAGAUUCCACAGAGGAGACCAUGCGGUAC
rnacentral:piRNA from 1 species